GGGAUAACGAGGCGAAAGCUUUGCUAAUACCGCAUGAGAUCUGAGGAUGAAAGCAGGGGACCGCAAGGCCUUGCGCGUUUGGAGCGGCCGAUGGCAGAUUAGGUAGUUGGUGGGAUAAAAGCUUACCAAGCCGACGAUCUGUAGCUGGUCUGAGAGGACGACCAGCCACACUGGGACUGAGACACGGCCCAGACUCCUACGGGAGGCAGCAGUGGGGAAUUUUGGACAAUGGGGGAAACCCUGAUCCAGCAAUGCCGCGUGCAGGAUGAAGGCCUUCGGGUUGUAAACUGCUUUUGUACGGAACGAAAAGGCUCUGGUUAAUACCUGGGGCUCAUGACGGUACCGUAAGAAUAAGCACCG
rnacentral:rRNA from 1 species